AAUUUGAAAUCUGGCUCUUUCAGAGUCCGAGUUGUAAUUUGCAGAGGGCGCUUUGGCUUUGGCAGCGGUCCAAGUUCCUUGGAACAGGACGUCACAGAGGGUGAGAAUCCCGUACGUGGUCGCUAGCUAUUGCCGUGUAAAGCCCCUUCGACGAGUCGAGUUGUUUGGGAAUGCAGCUCUAAAUGGGAGGUAAAUUUCUUCUAAAGCUAAAUAUUGGCCAGAGACCGAUAGCGCACAAGUAGAGUGAUCGAAAGAUGAAAAGCACUUUGGAAAGAGAGUCAAACAGCACGUGAAAUUGUUGAAAGGGAAGCGCUUGCAGCCAGACUUGCUUGCAGUUGCUCAUCCGGGCUUUUGCCCGGUGCACUCUUCUGCAGGCAGGCCAGCAUCAGUUUGGGCGGUGGGAUAAAGGUCUCUGUCACGUACCUUCCUUCGGGUUGGCCAUAUAGGGGAGACGUCAUACCACCAGCCUGGACUGAGGUCCGCGCAUCUGCUAGGAUGCUGGCGUAAUGGCUGUAAGCGGCCCGUCUUGA
rnacentral:rRNA from 1 species